rnacentral:rRNA from 1 species
UCGGGUUGUAAACUCCUUUCAGCAGGGACGAAACUGACGGUACCUGCAGAAGAAGCCCCGGCUAACUACGUGCCAGCAGCCGCGGUAAGACGUAGGGGGCGAGCGUUGUCCGGAUUUAUUGGGCGUAAAGAGCUCGUAGGCGGCUUGGCAAGUCGGAUGUGAAAUCACCAGGCUCAACCUGGUGUCGCCAUCCGAUACUGCCAUGGCUUCGAGUCCGGUAGAGGACCGUGGAAUUCCUGGUGUAGCGGUGAAAUGCGCAGAUAUCAGGAGGAACACCGAUGGCGAAGGCAGCGGUCUGGGCCGGCACUGACGCUGAGGAGCGAAAGCGUGGGGAGCAAACAGGAUUAGAUACCCUGGUAGUCCACGCCCUAAACGUUGGGCACUAGGUGUGGGGCCUCAUUCGACGGGCUCCGUGCCGGCGCUAACGCAUUAAGUGCCCCGCCUGGGGAGUACGGCCGCAAGGCUAAAACUCAAAGGAAUUGACGGA